GAACGUUAACGGCGUCGAGCGGCGGACGGGUGAGUAAUGCCUGGGAAAUUGCCCUGAUGUGGGGGAUAACCAUUGGAAACGAUGGCUAAUACCGCAUAAUAGCUUCGGCUCAAAGAGGGGGACCUUCGGGCCUCUCGCGUCAGGAUAUGCCCAGGUGGGAUUAGCUAGUUGGUGAGGUAAUGGCUCACCAAGGCGACGAUCCCUAGCUGGUCUGAGAGGAUGAUCAGCCACACUGGAACUGAGACACGGUCCAGACUCCUACGGGAGGCAGCAGUGGGGAAUAUUGCACAAUGGGCGCAAGCCUGAUGCAGCCAUGCCGCGUGUAUGAAGAAGGCCUUCGGGUUGUAAAGUACUUUCAGCAGUGAGGAAGGCGGGUACGUUAAUAGCGUCCUUGUUUGACGUUAGCUGCAGAAGAAGCACCGGCUAACUCCGUGCCAGCAGCCGCGGUAAUACGGAGGGUGCGAGCGUUAAUCGGAAUUACUGGGCGUA
rnacentral:rRNA from 2 species